CACUCCUACGGGAGGCAGCAGUGGGGAAUUUUGGACAAUGGGCGAAAGCCUGAUCCAGCAAUGCCGCGUGUGUGAAGAAGGCCUUCGGGUUGUAAAGCACUUUUGUCCGGAAAGAAAUCCUUGGCUCUAAUACAGUCGGGGGAUGACGGUACCGGAAGAAUAAGCACCGGCUAACUACGUGCCAGCAGCCGCGGUAAUACGUAGGGUGCGAGCGUUAAUCGGAAUUACUGGGCGUAAAGCGUGCGCAGGCGGUUUGCUAAGACCGAUGUGAAAUCCCCGGGCUCAACCUGGGAACUGCAUUGGCGACUGGCAGGCUAGAGUAUGGCAGAGGGGGGUAGAAUUCCACGUGUAGCAGUGAAAUGCGUAGAGAUGUGGAGGAAUACCGAUGGCGAAGGCAGCCCCCUGGGCCAAUACUGACGCUCAUGCACGAAAGCGUGGGGAGCAAACAGGAUUAGAUACCCGUGUAGUCCCA
rnacentral:rRNA from 1 species